rnacentral:tRNA from 1 species
AAGAGUUUAGUUUAAACUAAAACAUUAAUUUGUCAAAUUAAAAUUGCUUUUAGCAACCCUUA